rnacentral:rRNA from 1 species
AGCACCUACGGGGCGCAGCAGUGGGGAAUAUUGCACAAUGGGGGAAACCCUGAUGCAGCGACGCCGCGUGAAGGAAGAAGUAUCUCGGUAUGUAAACUUCUAUCAGCAGGGAAGAAAAUGACGGUACCUGACUAAGAAGCCCCGGCUAACUACGUGCCAGCAGCCGCGGUAAUACGUAGGGGGCAAGCGUUAUCCGGAUUUACUGGGUGUAAAGGGAGCGUAGGCGGUGCAGCAAGUCAGAAGUGAAAGCCCGGGGCUCAACUCCGGGACUGCUUUUGAAACUGUUUAACU